rnacentral:rRNA from 1 species
GACGAACGCUGGCGGCGUGCCUAAUACAUGCAAGUCGAGCGGAGUUAGAGAAGCUUGCUUCUCUAACUUAGCGGCGGACGGGUGAGUAACACGUGGGCAAUCUGCCCGUAAGACUGGGAUAACUCCGGGAAACCGGGGCUAAUACCGGAUAAUCCUGACUCUCUCCUGAGAGUCAGUUGAAAGAUGGUUUCGGCUAUCACUUACGGAUGAGCCCGCGGCGCAUUAGCUAGUUGGUAGGGUAAUGGCCUACCAAGGCGACGAUGCGUAGCCGACCUGAGAGGGUGAUCGGCCACACUGGGACUGAGACACGGCCCAGACUCCUACGGGAGGCAGCAGUAGGGAAUCUUCCGCAAUGGACGAAAGUCUGACGGAGCAACGCCGCGUGAGUGAAGAAGGUUUUCGGAUCGUAAAACUCUGUUGUUAGGGAAGAACACGUACGAGAGUAACUGCUCGUACCUUGACGGUACCUAACCAGAAAGCCACGGCUAGCUACGUG